UGUGUGUGUGUGUGUGUGUGUGUGUACAUUUCCACUUGCCAAUAUGACUCAAAGUCAAAGAAUCAUUUGUACUAUAUACACAUGUUGUAAGUGCAGAUCUUGAGUUUAGUCAGUAAAUACAAUUUUUCUCUAAGUGGUUUGAUACAAGAUAAAUAGUCAAUGAUCAGACAAGCAAAUAUGUCCACAACGUUAAAUUGUCACGAAAAUCAAGAACUUUUCCCAUAAACAAAAGCACGCUCCAGUUUUCUUUGACUUUACUGGAAUCAACGAGAAGGUCACAGCUAUGAUUGACCUUGAAGCAACUUCAUAUCUGUCUUGUAAAUGGCCAAGUUACUCAAAUGAAAAAGAUCUUUCUGAACAAACAGCCAAAAGUAGAUGCUCUUCAAGCGUGGUCGACACUAUUAGUUUUCCUUUGGACUCUUUCCCACAACUGUGUCUUGAAUCGGUUAGGGAAGCAGUGAAAGAACUAAAAAGAAGGAGAAUGUAAGAUUAAUGUGCUAGUAUACUUUUUGCUAUAUAGUCCGUUGCAACAAGGCUAGAUAACGCCUUUUUUACACUUGCAGCACAUUCAAUGAGCAUUGACCCAUGCAUUUCUCACUAGCUAGGAAAACGCAAUUCGCAAAACGUCAUAGAGUAUAUAUGUACACGCCUAUAUUGUAUUGUGUGUUGUAGAAUCUGCAUUCAUUCAUAGUAGCUGCCAGCUAUAGUUAAGAGUUGCUAAGCAAUGGCUGACAUUGACCAGUCAACGGUUGCUGUGGACGAUGAGGAUCUAGAUUAUCAUCCUUUUGACUCACUAGAAAGUAUAGAUAAAGGCGGAGAUGAAGCGAGUGAUGUAACUAAUGAGGAGAUAUCGGAUGAACCAAAGCUUGCGAUUGUUAUGUGUCAAGAAUGUAUUAGAGCAACGAAUUCAAGUCGGACAGAUGACGCCAAGUCCAUCUUCGUUGAAGGAAGUGAAAAGUGCACAAAAGGAGACGAGUUUCAUUCCAAGUAGAGUGAAUGGCUUCUCUUUCCGUAGUACUAUCAUCUGUCAUGAUCAGUGACGGUCUUUUAAGUGCACCUCUGCCAAAGAAUGCGUUGUUGGAAAUUUCUUGCAGCUUGUUCAGCCCACACUGGAUGGUAUCCACACUGGAUGAUAUCUCGCUUUUCAUCUGACACAACCACAACUCCCAAAGGAAGUGAGCAAGCUGCAUGGCUUGUUGACAGAAUAAAUAUAGAGUUACUGAAGUGAUCAAGUAUUGAAGUGAAGUCACAAAAUACCAGUUCACCUGCUUGUUGCACCAUUUGAUGUACCUUGGACAUCAAGGGUGUGCAUACUGCUAAGAUCAGGGGACAACCACUUUCACUGUCACUUCCACUGUCACAAGAGUCAGCAUUUUUCCUUUGAACGGUUGCAAAACUGCCUUUCCAUUUAAUCUCCAUUCAUUGUACAAUCGACAAACAUCUUGCCAAGACGGAUUGAUAGCUUUGUCAGCUAAGUCCACUUGAACUGUGUUCCUCAAAAUUGAAUUCUCAAAUAGUGGUGUUUCAUAGGCAUGCCAUGCAGAUGAUGCCGAAUGUCCUGCUUCAAACAACUGGAUAAAGGAUUCCUUUGUUUCUUGCAGGAUGGAACGAAAGCUAAGUGAAAGUACACUACAAAUUGGAUGGUUGUGCACGUGCACAAUGUUGGCUAGUGUUGGAUGUUGUGCAAGGUUACUUGAAUUACUGCAUUGCCUCAAACAUUUGUUUGGUGGACGUUGUACUCUCAAUGUUAUGGUUGAUGGGCAUCCUGUUUUCUUCUUUCUAAGGUUAUCAGCCAGACCUUUUUAAUAGCACGUGAUGACAUGCGUGCUAGCUGUUUACUUGUAGUAGGUUUUUGCUUGUGUUGACAAUGCAUGUCUACUUUAUACAGAACAUAUGUCAUAGUUGGCUUAUAAGUUCGAGUGGUUCUAAAAGUACAUUGGCUAUGCUUCAUCAUAGAAGCUAGCCAUUUUUUGGCUUCAUCUUCAGUAGUGGUGCUGGUUCGUAUCACAGCCUUGAACUGUUGACUAGGGGCACCAGGAAAUUCCCUGGAUUGAAACUCUUCCAAUUUUUCGAUGAGUUAUGUAUAUCCUUGCGGCAGUACGGUUUGCAAGAGUUCUGGUAAAUUUUCCGACUCCUGUAAAUUGUCCCAUGAACUUGAUCUCAUCUGACUGUUCACACAAGCUUUGUAGAGAAGAAUGAGUGUUUUUUUAAAGAACCCAUAGUUGCUUCGUCAGGCAGUACCACAUUAGAGGUUAAUUCUGCUGCUAUCCUUGCUCUGAUUUGUGGCAUGUCAGUCUAUGUUGAAAUGGAGAUGUUCUACCAAGCAUAUCAUUAUAGCAUGAACAUUAUCAUACCUGAGAAAAGCUAAUAUCUUUUUGCCU